CCUACGGGUGGCAGCAGUCGAGAAUCAUUCACAAUGGGGGAAACCCUGAUGGUGCGACGCCGCGUGGGGGAAUGAAGGUCUUCGGAUUGUAAACCCCUGUCAUGUGGGAGCAAAUUAAAAAGAUAGUACCACAAGAGGAAGAGACGGCUAACUCUGUGCCAGCAGCCGCGGUAAUACAGAGGUCUCAAGCGUUGUUCGGAAUCACUGGGCGUAAAGCGUGCGUAGGCUGUUUGGUAAGUGGUGUGUGAAAGGCGCGGGCUCAACCCGCGGACGGCACAUGAUACUGCGAGACUAGAGUAAGGGAGAGGGAACCGGAAUUCUCGGUGUAGCAGUGAAAUGCGUAGAUAUCGAGAAGAACACUCGUGGCGAAGGCGGGUUCCUGGACAUUAACUGACGCUGAGGCACGAAGGCCAGGGGAGCGAAAGGGAUUAGAUACCCGAGUAGUC
rnacentral:rRNA from 1 species